rnacentral:rRNA from 1 species
GUGGGGAAUUUUGGACAAUGGGCGCAAGCCUGAUCCAGCCAUGCCGCGUGUCUGAAGAAGGCCUUCGGGUUGUAAAGGACUUUUGUCAGGGAAGAAAAGGAUAGGGUUAAUACCCCUGUCUGAUGACGGUACCUGAAGAAUAAGCACCGGCUAACUACGUGCCAGCAGCCGCGGUAAUACGUAGGGUGCGAGCGUUAAUCGGAAUUACUGGGCGUAAAGCGGGCGCAGACGGUUACUUAAGCAGGAUGUGAAAUCCCCGGGCUCAACCUGGGAACUGCGUUCUGAACUGGGUGACUAGAGUGUGUCAGAGGGAGGUAGAAUUCCACGUGUAGCAGUGAAAUGCGUAGAGAUGUGGAGGAAUACCGAUGGCGAAGGCAGCCUCCUGGGAUAACACUGACGUUCAUGCCCGAAAGCGUGGGUAGCAAACAGGAUUAGAUACCCUGGUAGUCCACGCCCUAAACGAUGUCGAUUAGCUGUUGGGCAGCUUGACUGCUUAGUAGCGAAGCUAACGCGUGAAAUCGACCGCCUGGGGAGUACGGUCGCAAGAUUA